AUUGAACGCUGGCGGCAGGCCUAACACAUGCAAGUCGAACGAGUGGCGGACGGGUGAGUAAUGUCUGGGAAACUGCCUGAUGGAGGGGGAUAACUACUGGAAACGGUAGCUAAUACCGCAUACCAUCAGAUGUGCCCAGAUGGGAUUAGCUUGUUGGUGGGGAAACGGCUCACCAAGGCGACGAUCCCUAGCUGGUCUGCGAGGAUGACCGGCAACAGUGGAACGGAGACACGGGCCAGACUCCAAGGGGAGGCAGAGGUGGGGAAUAUUGCACAAGGGGGGAAAGCCUGAUGCAGCCAUGCCGCGUGUAUGAAGAGGGCCUUCGGGUUGUAAAGUACUUUCAGCGGGGAGGCGUUACCCGCAGAAGAAGCACCGGCUAACUCCGUGCCAGCAGCCGGGGUAAUU
rnacentral:rRNA from 1 species